GCUGGUGUAGCUCAACUGGCAGAGCAACUGACUUGUAAUCAGUAGGUUAAGGGUUCAAGUCCCUUCACUAGCU
rnacentral:tRNA from 1 species